AUAGGGAAGGGAAGAUGCCAUGAUCUUGAAGGUGAUCUUCCCAGGGUGAGGCUUAUCCAUUGCACUCCAGAUGUGCUGAUCCUGUGAUUUCCCCAAAUGUGGGAAAUUUGACGGAAUAAUUUGUAGUAGUUGGGGACUGUGUUCAUGCUCUCUCCUU
ensembl:snRNA U1 U1 spliceosomal RNA